AUGCAAGUAACUGGAUAUGGUGAUGAAGUGUUGAGCUUAAUCACAAGCUCUUUGAAUGGACCAUAACAGUUUUUCCUAGUUGCAUCACACAACGCUGGAAUAUCUUGUGUUGCAUCCUUAUCUGAUUCUGGUAAACCAUCAGCGGAAGAGUUUGGCUAGUUGCAUGGAAGGAUUGACAUGACCCUGUGCUGGAAAUGGUACGAAUACUGCAUGUGGUUUUUGUGUUUGAUUAGGCGUGGAACCCAUUAUAGUUGGUUUUUCUUGAGAGUUUUUUUGAGUUCAAAUAUGAAUUCUCUCAGCAGAUUAUAUGUUUGUGAAUAAAUAUGGGUUUAGUUUUCCGUUGUUGUCGUUUAUAUUAUAGGGUAAUGUUAAGGAUGAUGUUUAGGCAAUAUAUCCAAUGCAUUGAUAAAACUAUUGAUACAUGUAGGGCUAUGAUAUGUGUUUUUGAGAUGGGUUUAUUUUUGUGUAAUUGGGUAAGGAGAGCAAUUUUAAGAACGUUUACCUAAAUAUUUGUAUCCCACUGUUUCAUAA